rnacentral:lncRNA from 1 species
GAUGAAUGGAUGGUGUAUAGCAAGGAAUCAAAGUUGUCAUUGACUGACUGCAACCUGGAAGUAGGAUCCAUAGAACGCAGACAUGGCUGCUCAUGGAGAGGGGGGAUGCCACCACAUUUGUGGCAAUUACCAGGAAAGCUGGUCCGGUGAUUCACAUGGUCACAGGAGUUGCUGGGAUUUUGGCUUGAAGACAGCCUAAAUUUUCUACUGGAGAUCCCACAAUCCUGUUUCGGAGCUUGACGACAUGUCAACUGUGUGCAUCAAUGGGGUAGGAAGGCUGGAAGCAGCAACAGGGAAAGGAGAUGCAAAGUGGUAGCAGAGUUUUGAUGCCACUUUGUCUCUCUGUCAAAUGCAUUUGUCAUGGAAAGAGGAAAGCAGCUAUGCUGCCUACAUCAUUAGCCG